CUCCAAUAGCGUAUAUUAAAGUUGUUGCGGUUAAAAAGCUCGUAGUUGGAUUUCUGCCGAGUGCAGCCGGUCUGGACAAUGUUCAUGUAUCUGGUUUGCGCUUGGCAUCCUCUCAAGAUACGUAUCUGCGCUUGACUGCGUGGUGCGGGGCUUGAGACUUUUACUUUGAGGAAAUUAGAGUGUUCACGGCAGGCCGUUGCCUUGAAUAUAUUAGCAUGGAAUAAUAACAUAGGACUUCGGUUCUAUUUUGUUGGUUUCUAGAGCUGAAGUAAUGAUUAAUAGGGACAAUUGGGGGCAUUCGUAUUAUGGCGUCAGAGGUGGAAUUCUUGGAUUGCCAUACGACGAACUACUGCGAAAGCAUUUGCCAAGGAUGUUUUCAUUGAUCAAGAACGAAAGUAAGGGGAUCGAAGACGAUUAGAUACCGUCGUAGUCUUUACCAUAAACUAUGCCAACUAGAGAUGGGGCGAAGUUUCUUUACCGACUCGCUCCGCACCUUAUGAGAAAUCAAAGUCUUUGGGUUCCGGGGGGAGUAUGGUCGCAAGGCUGAAA
rnacentral:rRNA from 1 species